UACGGAGGGUCCAAGCGUUAUCCGGAAUCAUUGGGUUUAAAGGGUCCGUAGGCGGUUUUGUAAGUCAGUGGUGAAAGCCCAUCGCUCAACGGUGGAACGGCCAUUGAUACUGCAAAACUUGAAUUAUUGGGAAGUAACUAGAAUAUGUAGUGUAGCGGUGAAAUGCUUAGAUAUUACAUGGAAUACCAAUUGCGAAGGCAGGUUACUAUCAAUAUAUUGACGCUGAUGGACGAAAGCGUGGGGAGCGAACCGG
rnacentral:rRNA from 1 species